CCUACGGGAGGCAGCAGUGGGGAAUCUUGCGCAAUGGCCGAGAGGCUGACGCAGCGACGCCGCGUGGGGGAUGAAGCAUUUCGGUGUGUAAACCCCUGUUGCUCGGGACGAACGACCCUUUUCGAGGGGUGUGACGGUACCGAGUGAGGAAGCACCGGCUAACUCCGUGCCAGCAGCCGCGGUAAUACGGAGGGUGCAAGCGUUGUCCGGAAUCACUGGGCGUAAAGGGCGCGUAGGUGGUUAGAUGCGCCGGUGGUGAAAGCGCAGGGCUCAACCCUGCGUCGGCCAUCGGGACGGUCUAACUGGAGCACUGUAGAGGCAGGUGGAAUUCCGGGUGUAGCGGUGGAAUGCGUAGAGAUCCGGAAGAACACCGGUGGCGAAGGCGGCCUGCUGGGCAGUUGCUGACACUGAGGCGCGACAGCGUGGGGAGCAAACAGGAUUAGAUACCCUGGUAGUCCACGCCGUAAACGAUGGGCACUAGGUGCUUGGGGGAGCGACCCCCUGAGUGCCGACGCUAACGCAUUAAGUGCCCGCCUGGGGAGUACGACCGCAAGGUUGAAACUCAAAUGAAUUGACGG
rnacentral:rRNA from 1 species